AUUGAACGCUGGCGGCAUGCUUUUACACAUGCAAGUCGAACGGUAACAGGUUAAGCUGACGAGUGGCGAACGGGUGAGUAAUGCAUCGGAACGUGCCCGGUCGUGGGGGAUAACACUUCGAAAGAAGUGCUAAUACCGCAUACGAUCUAAGGAUGAAAGCGGGGGACCGUAAGGCCUCGCGCGAUUGGAGCGGCCGAUGUCAGAUUAGGUAGUUGGUGGGGUAAAGGCUCACCAAGCCGACGAUCUGUAGCUGGUCUGAGAGGACGACCAGCCACACUGGGACUGAGACACGGCCCAGACUCCUACGGGAGGCAGCAGUGGGGAAUUUUGGACAAUGGGCGCAAGCCUGAUCCAGCAAUGCCGCGUGCAGGAAGAAGGCCUUCGGGUUGUAAACUGCUUUUGUACGGAGCGAAAAGGCUCUCUCUAAUACAGGGGGCUGAUGACGGUACCGUAAGAAUAAGCACCGGCUAACUACGUGCCAGCAGCCGCAGUAA
rnacentral:rRNA from 1 species